GACGAACGCGGGCGGCGUGCUUAACACAUGCAAGUCGAACGGUGAACCUCUUCGGAGGGGAUCAGUGGCGAACGGGUGAGUAACACGUGGGCAACCUGCCCCCGGCUCUGGGAUAACUCCAAGAAAUUGGGGCUAAUACCGGAUGUUCACCGCUUCCCGCAUGGGUGGGGGUGGAAAGGGGUGUCGGCGGGGGAGGGGCCCGCGGCCUAUCAGCUUGUUGGUGGGGUAGUGGCCGACCAAGGCGACGACGGGUAGCCGGCCUGAGAGGGUGACCGGCCACACUGGGACUGAGACACGGCCCCACAUCCUCCGCUGUCCGGCCGUGUGGCUUCUUGCCCCCUGGGCGGCGGCCUGCCGCAGCGACGCCGCGUGGGGGAUGACGGCCUUCGGGUUGUACCCCUCUUUCCGCCGGGCCGCCGCGCCCGUGCCGGUCCCUGCCGCCGCCGCCCCGGCCCCCUCCGUG
rnacentral:rRNA from 1 species